rnacentral:rRNA from 1 species
UAGGCUAAAUCCUAAAGCUAUUAGGUGGAUGACUUGGCUCAAAUGCUGAUAAAGGAUGUGGCAAUCUACAGAAUGCUCCGGCGAGAUGCAUGCAAUCUUUGAACCGGAGAUUUCUGAAUGAGACUUCUCAUCUACUCCGUAAGGAGGGGGAACGCAGGGAAUUGAAACGUCUUAGUACCUGCAGGAAAAGAAAUCAAUCGAGAUGCUGCGAGUAACAGCGAGUGAAAACAGCAAAAGGCAAACUGAAUCCUUUAUUGAAAGAUAAAGGAGAUGUGGUGUUAAAAGACUGCCUACAUAAAUCUUAUCUCAGGAACCUAAAGUUAUCUGGAAAGAUAUGCCCUAGAGUGUGAUAGCCACGUAGGGGUAACUGAGAAGGUUUUGGCGGUAUCUUGAAUACUAUCCAUUGGAUAUUGGAUGGGAAUUAAGGAGGCAUCAACUUCUAACCUUAAAUACAAUUUGAGUCCGAUAGCGCAUAGUACAGUGAUGGAACGUUGAAAAGUACCCAUGACAGGAAGUGAAAAGAACCUGAAACCUAAUAGCUAUUGUUGGGUACUGCUCUAAGGAGUUGUACCAUACGUUUCGAAUAACGUGCCAGGGAGUUCAUCUGAGUGGCAAGGGUAAUUCGCAAGAAGUACCCGAAGCGAAAGCAAUAAGCCUGCAAUUUAUGAGAGGCAAGGUAUGAAAAUGCCUGCAGUCACUUGGAUGUAACCCGAAGCCGGACGAUCUAGCCCUUGAUAAGGUGAAGUUCCAGUAAAAUGGAAUGGAGGCCUGUCGAGGUUCUACGAGCAAGUGUUCUUCUAAUCUUGGGCUAGGGGUGAAAAGCCAAUCGAGUCCGGCAAUAGCUGGUUCCUAUCGAAGUUGGCCGUAGUCAAGCCUCAGGGGAGAUGGCUGGAGUAGUAGAGCGACGGGUUGAAGAUUUAGGUCCCGAAAGGGAUCGGUUUUCUGUCCAACUCCGAACAUUUCAGCAUCAAAGAACCUGGGAGACGGGAAGCCGAGGUAAGCUUGGUUUCCGAGAGGGAAACAACCCAGACUGCAGUUAAGGUCCCAAAAUGCUAUCUAAGUGUGAAAGGGUGAAAAGUGUUUAUUGUCGAAGACAGCGAGGAGGUUGGCUCAGAAGCAGCCAUCCUUUAAAAAGUGCGUAACAGCUUACUCGUCAAGAUGAUAAGCCUUUAAAAUGGACGGGGCUAAGUUAGCUACCGAUACUGCAGAAUGCUUAAAAAGCAAAUAGUAGGUAGGCGUUCUAUUAGGGUAGAAAUAUCUUUGCGAAAAGGUGUGGACCUUGUAGAAAUGAGAAUCCUGGCGGUAGUAGGAUCUUAGUACUGUAAGAAUCAGUACCACUGAAAGGGCAAGGGUUCCUUGGCAAUGCAAAUCAGCCAAGGGUUAGUCGAACCUAACUUAAUCCAUAAAUUGGAUUAUGGGAAAGGGAGAAAGGUUAAUAUUCCUUUACUAUUCAAGUAUGCGUGGCGACACAAGCUUCAUUCCCGACAUUUCCGAUUAAGCUAACACAAAUCUUCGUUUGUGUCAACCGGAAUGAAUCAGAGGAGUAUUAUAAUAAUGAGAAUCUGAUUAAAUCUGGGAUGAGUAUCCUCAUGGGAUAUUUAGCUGAUAUCCGGAAUCCGUGAAAAGGGAAUAGAGAAAGAACUUGAAUAUUCGUACCAAGAACCAGCACAGGUGCCCCAAGGUGAGAAGCCUAAAGUGUGAAGGAUUAAUCUAAUUGAGGGAAUUCGGCAAAUUAGCCCCGUACCUUCGGUAUAAGGGGUCCCUGCAAUUGUUGCUAAGCAAUUGAUUGCAGGGUGCAAUGACUAAGGGGGUCCGACUGUUUAACAAAAACUUAACUGACUGCCAGCCUGUAAAGGUGUGUAUAGUCAGUGACACCUGCCCAGUGUCUGUACUUUAAACUUCCGUCCAAGGAAGCUAAGAGCAGGUAAACGGCGGGGGUAACUAUAACUCUCUUAAGGUAACGUAAUACCUUGUCGUUUGAUUGACGACUUGCAUGAAUGGUGUAACGAGAUCCCCACUGUCCCCAAUUAGAAUCCUCCGAACACUCCAUACUGGUGCAAAGGCCAGUGAUUUCCAGUGGGAAGCGAAGACCCCGUGAAACUUUACUGUAGCCUAUCGUUGCGAUGUGGGUUCUGAUGUGUAGUGUAGGUGGUAGUUGCUAAAGCUUGGCCGUCAGGUUAAGUGUAGACGACAAUGAAACACCACUCUUCAAAACCUAUAUUGCUUAAUCCGGAAGGAUAACAUCGGUAGGUGGACAGUUUGGCUGGGGUGGCACCCUGUUGAAACAAUAUCAACAGGACCCAAAGGUUGGCUCAAGCGGGUCAGAAAUCCGCAGUAGAGUGUAAGGAUAAAAGCCAGCCUGACUGUAUUCAUAAUAAGAUUGAAUGCAGGCAUGAAAAUGUGGUCUAGCGAACCUCUAUACCCUCCUUGAUGGGGGUUAGAGAUGAUCAAAAAGUUACUCCGGGGAUAACAGAGUUGUCGCGCCUGAGAGUUCAUAUCGACGGCGCGGCUUGCUACAUCGAUGUCGGCUCUACCUAUCCUGGACGUGCAGAAGCGUCCAAGGGUGCGGGUGUUCACCGAUUAAAAGGUAUCGUGAGCUGGGUUCAGAACGCUGUGAGGCAGUUUGUUUGAUAUCUACUGGAAAUGUCUGAUGUCUGAAAGAAAUGAUCCUCUAGUACGAGAGGAACGAGGGUUAGAGGCCUCUGGUCUACCUGUUAUCUGUAAAGGUAUGCAGGGCAGCUACGCCUUAGAGGAUAAGUGCUGAAAGCAUCUAAGCACGAAGCCUUUCUUGAAAAGAGACAUCAUAGAACUCUCGUAAAACACGAGUUUAAUGGGACAGGUGUGUAAGUAUCAAGGCAACGAGAUAUUCAGCACGCUGUUUCCAACAGUUCAUACUUUAACCUA